UUUGGUAUCACUGAUCUUUACACAUAUGAGGAAACUGGGACACAGAAUGGUUCAGAUCGUAAUGACACAGCCAGGAUUUACACCCAUGCAGUCUAGCUCCAGACUGUGCUCUGAAACAAAUGCUAUACUUCCUGAAGGAAUCAAUCAAAGAAAGCAUGAUGAAGAAAAAGACUGGUUAGUUAAGAUACUGACCCUUCACCCUUCUGGGAAGAGGAACAGUAUGAACCACUUUGGCAUUUCCUGUGUCCUUGCUUCUGGUCAGACUCACAGCUGACAAACACCGGCUUAGUCUCCACGCAAUUCCUGGGUAGGUAUGAAGCAAGAGAGACGCCUGCGCUCUGCCUCGGCUCUGAAUAAGAAAACACAUCGCAUCCCUUAGCCGGUGGGCAAAAAAAUGUUCUGCAUCCAGAGAAAACAAGAAGACAGACAAGCAUCACAAACAAACGCCUAGUUCUAGUCUCCAAAAUAAGUAAAACCUUCAGUGUUUUCUCCAAGUUACUCUCUGUAUAACGAAAGCAACCGUAUCCCUGACUCUGGCAAUGGUGAUGUCUGAAGGUUUCCGUACCUCCCUGCUCUCCUGCUAACCAGCGAGGGUCAUCUGGUCAUCUCAUUGUGUUACAAGGAAAGAAUAGAAGAGUCAGCCUACUCAAGAACAGUUUGUCAAGGGUUCGGAUCUCUAUACUGGCCAGCGCCAAAACAAACAAACAAAAGAACAAACAAACAAACAAACAAACAAACAAAAGAACAGUUUGAAAGUAACCAAUCAGCGUCUCUUUCUUCCCUCACUGUGUGACAGCUGCUUCGGUACAAAGGAAGGUGAACCUUAGAGGUGCAAGUUCCUCCUGCGUUCUGACCACGUGUGAAGUAUUUGGUUCAACAUUCAACCUUUGCCGCAAACACCCUGAAGCAAAGUUGGGAGGAGCUUGUGGCUGGCAACAUAUAUCAUUUGAUGUCAUCAAAAGUAAAACCCAGAAGAGGGGAGACCAGCUGGAGUUGGCACCAUCUGCCUGUGAGUCAAAAGAGCACUAAGAGAAAGGGUGCAUGGAGCUCUCCUUAGUAUGAGUAUGGUAAACACUCGAAUUUCCAGAAUUCGUUCAUUCAAGGAGAAAGGAGAAUUUUCUUGAAUCACAAGCAUGGAACAUGAAAACAGGUAGGCACAGAGGAGGAUCAACCCAAUUUAAAAAGAAAAAGUAAGGCUAAACCUUAUGAGUAGCCAGAGGAGGCUGCUAUCUAUUCAGAAUACCAGGAAGGCAUUCAAUCUACAAUGAUAUCUCUACCACACCCUUUAAUUCCAACAUUAUUUUGGUUUAGAUAAUUGCUUUUCAUUAAAAUAUAAACUUGCUUAACACCAAAUUCUUUCAUGGGGAGGAACAGGAAAGAAAACUCAAACAUCAGAGACCUGCGAUGGGGCAAGGAUACAGACGCAGCAAUGACAAAUGGAGGUGGAUGGAAUUUUGCCAGUGGGGAAAAGAGCACAGAGUAAAAUAACCAGGACCGGAAAUAACUGACUGGGACCUUUCUUAGUGGAAAUUGACAGGGGGAAAAGAAGACUUAUAAGGCUCAGGAAAGAAAGGAUGGAGAGCAAGUUAGAAAUGUUGGUUCACAUAUCAGGAAUUGUUAAAAAGUGCAGAGAAGGUUGGCCUGUUAUCUCAGUUGGUUACAGCACAGUGUUGUAACACCAAGGUCAAGGUUUCAGAUCCCCUUCCUGGCCAGCCACCCAAAAAAAAAAAAAGUGUAGAGAACAUAAGAGCAAUGAGAAAUGGCAAACAAAGGAAUUUAAUCACGCAAAAGAGAAGCAAGUAAAGCAUGAAACUACACCUAGCGUGAUCGUUGGACCUGAAGGGGGCAGAAAAGAGAAGGGGUCCACAUCUGGAAUGUUGGAGAACCAGCGGUAAAGUUAUGGAGUGCAGGAUAGAAUAUAGAAUAGUAGCAUAGACAAAUUGGAGCAAUACUGGUACUUGGUUUUCAAAGAGCAUAAAUUCAGGUCUUUUUUUGUAAACAUAAAAGAGAAAAGAAAAAGAUAUAACCAGACCAAAGGCCACUUUACUCUGAGAAAGAAGCUGGAAAAAUUACAUUAAAAUGUUUACUUUGCAAUAUACACAAUACUGAGCUUGAGGUGCUGCCUGGUGGGAAUGUCACAAUAUGUAGUAGGAGGGUCAAGUUCAUAAAGAGAUUCUUAAAAUGAUUCUCAGAACUUCUGUGCAUAUGAGCUCUCUAUAGUGGCUACAAUAUGCAUUUAAUAUGUCUGUCUAUAUAGGAGUAUAUUUGAUUCUAGAGACUGUAUGGAGGAGAGAUUACAUGCUUUGGGGCAUUUUGUAGCAUUUCUGUUUAAUCGGUUGUACAAAUCCCAUUAAACUAAAUUGUUUCCUAACAGCAAGAAUCCAAUCUUCAUUUAGCUAUUUUCUCAGCAAUGUGAAAGGAAUACAACCCCUACUGUCAUUGUAACUGGUUGUCCCCUAGUUCCUAUUUGAAUUUCAUUGGUUUUUAUAGAAAGUUAUUGAGUUGUUUAGAGAGAAGGGUCUAUAAUAUAUGAUUUUUCACUUAUUAUACUGGGGUUUUGUUCUAUUACAUUGUGGACUGCUGCUCUCAUUGAGGAUAAAGUAGACAUGGCUGUUGUGAAUCAGACUGCAUCCAGGCUUCAGGAAAUAUGAAUAAUGCAUUUAAAUUUAGAGAAUCAUUAAAUUAAAAGGAGCCUUAGGACUAAGAUAAAUUUAACCUUCUCAUUUUAAAGACAAGGAAAUUAAACCGGGACUUAAUGAAGGGAAAUGACUUGUCUGAGGCUACAUGUUUACUGCUAGAGCCAAGAUAAGAAUGUGGUUGUCUGAAAAAUGUGUUUCUUUCAAUGUUUCAUGUUAACCAUGAGGUAAACUUUCUACUUGCCUAUUAAAAUUCAGGUCUGAAUGUACUUCUUAGGCACCAAAUCAGGGUAUAUUCCAGAAGCCAUUCACACAGUAAUCUCCACUGGUGCACUUGGUGACUGGUGAGGAUGAAAGGCGUAGCAACAACACGAGGAAACUCCAGCCAGUGGUUCGGUUUCACGUUCAGUUGUCUAAUUUGCUUCGUGGGGUGGACUACCCCCAGGACUACCACAAAUUAGUAAGUAAAAGAGACUUACUUUCCAGCUCUACUUCCUGCCUGGAUGGCUGCAUGAAAAACUGGACAGGGAGUUAUGAGUCCAGCUUCUCAACCUGGCAUAAUCAGUCCCCUCUCUUUAGCCCCAGCCUCUGAGUUUAGCAGAAGACAACAUUUUGAAUCUUUUUUUUUUUUUUAUUGCUAGUAGGAUUGUAUAAUUCUUCACUCUGUUGGAGAAUCUUCUAGGACUACAAAAAUUACCAUAACCCUUCUCAUAAAGAAGACCUGCCAGGAAAAUUUUUAGGACAAUCCAGCAAAAUAGUGAAAAUGAGAGUAAAGCAGAGCAAGGGCCGGCCCGUGGCUCACUUGAGGGAAUGUGGUACUGAUAACACCAAGGCCGCAGGUUCGGAUCCCUAUAUAGGGAUGGCCGGUUAGCUCACUUGGGAGAGCGUGGUGCUGACAUCACCAAGUCAAGGGUUAAGAUCCCCUUACCUGUCAUCUUUUAAAAAAAAAAAGUAAAGCAGAACAUUUAAAUGAUGCGCAGUUAAUAUCGGAAACUCUUGAAAGGAAAAUAAAUGGACUUCUACGGCUAGCCAAAAUGGACAGUUUAGCUUUUUUCACCCUAAGCUCUACAUCAGACAGAUUCAACAGUAAAGAUUAUUAACUGAAAGUUUAUUUUCCCCUGAAAUCGUGUGUAGAAAUGUUUGCAUAUAAGCCAUAUGGUCAUUGCUUCUCAGCUUUUGGCUAAGAUCAAGUGUGAAGCCACAUGGUCAUCAUUUAUCCACUAUGUCUAUGAUAUUGGGAAGCCUCAAAACCAUGCAAUAGUAUAGACUUUGUAUUUUAAGUAGCAUUGAAAAAUGAGAUAAAUGUUAUCAGCCUGGGUGAAGGGGCGAAAGCAGGACAAUGCAAAGGGAUUGGUUUCAGAAAUACUAAUGUCUCUGGGGUCGCUGACACUAGCUGGACAAGAAUUGCUCCUCUUUCCUUUCACCGCCCACACUUUCUUUCGUCUUUCCUCUUCUUUGAUCACAGACCAUUGGGUCUCUGCAAAUUCAGUUUUCACAGGGAGGAAGUCUGAAGUAGUUGGAACGACGGAGUCGCCUUGGAGGCAGACCGGCCAUCUGACGGCAGAGUUCAUCUAGAAGAGAAGCAGAGCAUGACUGCAGGAGAAUGCAGGAAGACAGCAAGGGCUCUUGUUUUUAAGGGAAGGAGAAGACUUCGCAGUGUGGUGUAGUAGAAAAUGUUGCAAAGAUAUGGGCUAACCCCCCAGCUCUGCCAACUUACGAGUUGUUUACCACUUACUAGAAAGUUUCUUAACUUUUAUGAACCUCACUAUCUCUUUUGGUAAAAUAAGCAUUAAAAUAACCUGCCUCAACAGUG